UACAGAGGUCUCAAGCGUUGUUCGGAUUCAUUGGGCGUAAAGGGUGCGUAGGCGGCGCGGUAAGUCGGGUGUGAAAUCUCGGAGCUUAACUCCGAAACUGCAUUCGAUACUGCCGUGCUUUGAGGACUGGAGAGGAGACUGGAAUUUACGGUGUAGCGGUGAAAUGCGUAGAUAUCGUAAGGAAGACCAGUGGCGAAAGGCGGGUCUCUGGACAGUUCCUGACGCUGAGGACGAAGGUCAGGGGGAGCAAAACGGG
rnacentral:rRNA from 1 species